GGAAUAGAAUGAUAUAAAAAAAAAAGCCUCUUGAUCUGAUUCACAACAGGCGCCUACCAGGGAGACUCUGGAUUUCCCUGUGGAUUCUUCUGGCUCGUGUUGAUGGAAAGGGAGGACUGGGCUGAGGGAUACUUUAGUGCUGUUUUAUUAUGAGCUGAUAUCUGCAAGCUCUGCCACGAUGACACAGCAAUAGAUGGCUUUUGUAAGAUGUGCAAGGCAUAGUUUUCUGCUGAUGCCAAGGGUGAAGAAAAGAAGGUUUACAAAUACUGUGGCUGAGCACCUGUUAGAUCUCUUGCCGGUCUUUGUCCAAGCUUGGAUCCAAUUACUUUUCACCAUCAAGGUGAAAUUCUCAGCCGCAUCAGUGCUGGAAAU